rnacentral:misc_RNA from 1 species
AGCAGCCGCGGUAAUUCCAGCUCCAAUAGCGUAUAUUAAAGUUGCUGCAGUUAAAAAGCUCGUAGUUGAAUUUCGGGACUAAUAUGUCGGUCGUGCCUCGGUACGUACUGGUUUAUUGGUUUCUCCUUUUUGAAGAACCAUGAUGUCAUUUAUUUGGUGUCGUGGGGAAUCAGGACUGUUACUUUGAAAAAAUUAGAGUGUUUAAAGCAGGCUCACGCUUGAAUACAUUAGCAUGGAAUAAUGAAAUAGGACGUUUGAUUCUAUUUUGUUGGUUUCUAGGAUCGACGUAAUGAUUAAUAGGGAUAGUUGGGGGCAUUAGUAUUCAAUUGUCAGAGGUGAAAUUCUUGGAUUUAUUGAAGACUAACUACUGCGAAAGCAUUUGCCAAGGAUGUUUUCAUUAAUCAAGAACGAAAGUUAGGGGAUCGAAGACGAUCAGAUACCGUCGUAGUCUUAACCAUAAACUAUGCCGACUAG